CUGGUAUCCAAUAACGGCUUUUGCGGGUUGAGGAGUAAACAUUUGCGAGCUUAAAAUUCUGUGUUAUCUAUGGUACAGCCUAUCAGGCUUAAGCCUCUUAACAUCAAAAUUAUAGAUAAGACCCACUCUCCGUUUCGCCCUACAAUGUGGCUUUCAUAAUAUUUAUGAGCAACAAAAAAAAAAAUUAAAGUUACGUCCCGGCUAGUAAUGAUAUUCGCUCGUUUUUCUAGUAGUAUGGGUUUGUAGAUCUAGAGAGCGGUAGUUUUUACUUCUUUAGUCCAAUUUUCGUUAAAAUGUUUGCUCAUGUUGAGAUUGAAGAGAUUAAUUUUGUUAUCCUAUACUUUAUAACUAUUUUGAAGUUGUCUUGCAUUCAACUCGUUAUUAAAUUUGUGUUUCGAUGGAGAAUCUGGGUAUGUUGCAAUAUGUUUUGAAAAUGAGUUUAAAACUAAAACGUUUUUUAUCAUCUUAUAUUUCUUAACUUUGACGUAAAGUAAUUUUUUUUAUUUUUAUAUAUGCAAAUUGAAAUUUUCUGAUUGCGCGUGCUACUUCAUUCAAAUAUGACUAAAAACACUACAUACACAUCGCUGGUUGUCUUAUGGUCGAUUCUAAUAAAGUUGCCUCUUAACGUUUGCGAAUCAAGUCGAAAGAAAAUUAUAAGUAGCAGUGAGAAGAUGGUGUUGCAAUAAUUAUCGUGCGGCAUCAACGACUUCGACCUAACAAAACAAAAGCAAAAAACCAAUUGCAUCGGUGUGUUUGAAUGAAAAAAGGUUAGCCUAUUACAUACGGAAUUGUGGAGAGCAAAUCUGGAACCACAUCUGUUUAGUGGCAGCCACCGACGCGACGACAGCAGGUGUUUCACGACCAGUGUGCUACACGAUUGACCUCUCACCCGCAUCAACGUCCGAAGGCCAAGAAGUAAACUGUUUUAAACAUUGUAAUGGAAUUAAUUUACAAUGCAAGUAUAAUGUUAUCUCCGGAAUCGAUGGCUAAAUCUAGAGUGCAACUUGAGUAAAUCCUUAUGCCAAAAACAAACUGUCAGCUAAAAGUAUUUAAAUACACUCGAAAGUGCUUGCUAUGAUAAACUAUUAAAAUCACAUCAUCAUCCUUAAGAUUUGCUCGAUAUAAAUAAGCAAACGAAAAAAUACUAAAACCGCUCGUUUAAGGAGAACAAGAUACACUGAGAUGCGGAGUGUACAGCUGAAAAGAAUAUUUCUACAUUGAGAUGUAAUAUAUUCAGUUUUAUUUCAAACGUUUAGCCCUCACGAUAUUAAUUUUAUACUACCGAAAAUCCAAA